rnacentral:rRNA from 1 species
UACGUAGGGACCAAGCGUUGUUCGGAUUUACUGGGCGUAAAGGGCGCGUAGGCGGCGUGACAAGUCACUUGUGAAAUCUCUGAGCUUAACUCAGAACGGCCAAGUGAAACUGUUGUGCUAGAGUGCAGAAGGGGCAAUCGGAAUUCUUGGUGUAGCGGUGAAAUGCGUAGAUAUCAAGAGGAACACCUGAGGUGAAGACGGGUUGCUGGGCUGACACUGACGCUGAGGAGCGAAAGCGUGGGGAGCGAACAGG